GUAGGGGCUCUCUGCAGGUCUAAAAGAAAAGAGCCCCAUUUAAGACACUGUCAAUCUGUUGGGGUGAUACGGUCUUCUCUCUUCUUCCACCCGUGUUCCCUCUCUAAUCCGGGUGAUUCAAAUAGCUCAGGGGUCACGAGUGAGGAGUCAGAACACCUGGUUCUGGUCCCAGCUCUCUCAUUCCCUGCUGUGUGAUCCCAUCAGCUGAACUGACCUUCAAUUUUCUCAUCCUUGAAAUGGGGAGUCUAAUUCUUGCUCUACUUGAGGCAGGAUGCACUGUGAUGAUGUAUUUACACGCACACGUAUGCACGUUUACUAUAAAUAGCACCACUAGAUUCAUUAGUGCCAGUAUAUAUCUUUAAAUAUCCUAUUUCCUGGAGGCCUCAUCUCUUGUCUGUCUCUGCAGUGAGAGUGUCUGAAAGGCACUGGGUUCUCUCUUUUUAACGGCCCAACCCAGAACACUCCAGAGAGCUGAAGUAAGGAGAGGGAGCCAGGCCACUCAGCUCAUGAUAAGAGAUUGGCAGAAAGAGGCUGAUAAUAAGACCAGACUGGUUCGGGUUUGCUUGACAGAAGGUACCGAGGGCUGGGGAGAGGGGCCGGGCUCUAGGCUUGUGCUUUCCAAUACAGUAGCCGUUGGCCCCAUGUAGGUAUUUAAGUGAAUUACAGUGAAAUAAAAAUUGAAAUUCAGUUCCUCGGCCACACUAGUCACACGUCUAAUGCUUAACGGCUAUGUGUGGCGAGCGGCUGCCAUAUUGGAUGGUGCUGAUAGAGAACACGCUCAUCACUGAUGAAUUCUACCGGACAGUACUGCUCUAGAACUUCUGGGAGGUCAACAGAGGUUGACCUUUUCCAUGAUGUGGCCGGAUUUCAGUCCGAGAACAGCAUUCCAACGUUAGUGGUGCACCAGGCCUGGGCAAGCUAGGAUAUGUCUGUAUUCUUUCCGGCCUGACUCAACUCCUCCCUCCGAUUCAGCCUGGAGAUAGACUGGGAGGCACUGGUGGCAGUCGCUCUCUAGGUAUCGAUUGCAGAAGGAUUUGCAGCUGCCUCUGGAGUUGGCCAGCUCUGCGAUCACGUCAGUCGCCCCCGCUUCAGACUGCAUUCCUAACGGGUCGACCACCUACCAGAUGCGUUAUCACCCUGAGCAUCAUCAAGGACUUCAGUACCAACGAGGAAAGGCGCAACAUGCUUCCGUUAUGACGGGGAUACUGAGGCAGAGUGAAUCCAAUUAACUUUCAGUCACACAAAGAAACAGAACUGAAUGGAUCCCAGCUGCUGUGAAUCUGGGAUCUAUUUCCCUUGCAGUCCCAAGCCGAGCCCGUGCGUGUGUGUGUGUGUGUGUGUGUGUGUGUGUGUGACCACAUACUAUUGGUCACCGUCUUGUGAUCGCCUCCACUAAUCUCUGGUCAUAAGUUCGGGCAGUAGGGGUACCUUUCAAGACGCCAAUUUGUCUCUUAACUCUUUGGAAGACUGGAUCUUGUAGACUGAAUCUAGAAUACUUCAGUUCUUUGUUCUCCAUAAGCCUCCUGCUUAUUUAAAUAAUUACCAUAUGAUGUUUGCUUAAUUGAACCUUAUAAUUAUUUAAACAAUUGUCAUUUGAUAUUUAUUUAGCCUAACCUUAGAUUCCAAAUCAACUAGGGAUAGGAUGCUUUUUGAAGGGUGAAGGCACUCUUAUUUUUUUGUGUGUUUCUAAUACUCAGUGUAGUGCCUGGCACUUAUGUGACAGCAAUAAGGCAUUGCUGGAUAAAAGAAAUAUGGCUAAUAUUAUCAUAUCUAGGGUACAGAGUUAGAGGCUAUCCCAGUGGCAGUUCAUAGAAUGGAAGACUAUUGUUCAUAAAAUACGUCCACAUGUUUACAACCCUUAUUGUGUGCCAGGCUCUAUUGUAAGCACUUUAUAUAUAUUCAGUCACUUAACCCUUUUUAAAAAAUGUUUACUUGUUUUUGAGAGAGAGUGUGUGUGCACUCGUGUGGGGGAGGGGGAGGGGCAGACAGAGGGAGAGAGAAUCCCAAGCAGGCUCUGUGCUGUCAGCACAGAGCCUGACCCGCGGCUUGAUCUCACAAGCUGUGAGGUCAUGACUCUGAGCCGAAACCAAGAGUCAGAUGCUUAACCGACUGAGCCACCCAGGCGCCCCCAGUCAUUUAAUCUCUAUACAAAUCCUGUGCAAUAGAUGCUACUAUCCCCAUUUUACAGAUGAGGAAA
rnacentral:lncRNA from 1 species